UAGAAAUCUUGCUCUCUCUUUCUCUCCAUCAUGUGAGGACAUGGUGAGAAGACAGCCAUCUGCAAGCCAGAAAGAGCGCUAACCAGAACGCAACCAUGUGGAUACCCCGAUCUCAUAGUCCCAGCCUCCAAAACUGUGGGCCUCUCCCAGAUGGCAACUUGUUUAUCAAAGCAUGAAAACCAAGAAGGUGAUAAAGAAAGUCUGCUAGCAAGACAUAAGUCACAAUCUUUUGUAAUCUAUUUAUGAAAGUGACAUCCCAUCAUCUUGACCACAAUCUAUUGAUUAGAAACAAGUACAGCUCACCCUCAACAAGAGGAGAUAAUAUCCAGGUGUGAAUUGCACAAGACUAAUCCAGUGGAAAAACUAUAUUCGACCCAAGGAUCUGUAUCCACACAGUUUGACAAUAAUUUACUUCUUUCUGGAAGCGAUGAGCACAGUGUAAUUCCUGAGAAAUUUUAAUAAUGAUAUUUUAAUUAUAAUUAAGUGAAACCUAGCAAAGUUGGCUGUAUCUGGAGGAACUCCACUGUGGGAAACAGAUUCUUAAGCCAAACUCAACGUGUGACUUCCAUUAGAUGGCUGAAGAUGGCUGUUUCGCUGCAUCAAUGUGUGACUUUCAAUAGAUGAUCGAAGAUGGCUGUUUGGCACUGUGUCUGAAUUAAGCCAGAAGGAAGGAGGAAGAAGAUGAAGAAAAGGCAUGCCUCUACCCCUUAGGACCACGUCUCUGAAGCUGUAUACAACAUUUCUGCUCUCAUAUAAUUGGGCAGAACUUAGUCAUAGAGCUACAUGUAGUUGCAAGGGAAGCUAUAUGCACUAAUGUGCUUAGUUAAACAUUGGGAUUCUCUUACUAAGGUACAUAAGGAGAACAUAUAUUUGGAGAGGCAACUAUCCAUCUCUGCCACAAGAUCUGAAACAAUUAUUGUGAGACUAUAAACAUAGAAAAAAGCUCCAGAGAUCAGGGGGAAGUCAGAAAUUAUUUGGGAUUCCAGUGAAUGGAAUGUUGACCAUAAAUGAGAAAUGAUGCUUGGGAUAAUUCCUAGCGAGCAUUGGCUUUUAGAGUUGGGAUUGAAGUCAACCAGCUAUAAAGAGCAAGACUGGGUGGGGUACUUUGAAAUGUCAUAUCAUUGUGUAUGGCUUUUGUGGUAGUUACUGCUUCUUUUUAGAAUAAUUCUCAUAACUAGGUAGAAAGCUCACCUUUGAAACUUCUGCAUGCCUAAUAAAAUGCUUCACUCACACCCAGUUGUUUUACUCAAGCGAGUAGUUUUAUGGUAACUGCAUUUGGGGUAACAGUCUUACAGAAGAGUUAACACAAUGGGCAGAUUCCAGGUGUGCUGUCAUUUGGAGGAGGCAAAUCCAUACAGACAAGAAGUAGAUUAGUGGUUGCCUAGAGCUGGAGGAGGGUAGGGAUAAGGAAUGGAUUACUACUGGGACUGGGUUUCUUUUUGGGGUGAUGAAAAUUUUCUAAAAUUGAUUGUGGUGAUGGUUGCCUAACUCUGUGAAUAGCAAUGAAUUGUGCUAUUGUACACUUUAGGUAAAUGGUAUGGUAUAUGAGUUAUAUCCCCAAUAAAGCUGUUAAAAAAGAAUGAGAAAGACCGAGUGACUUGCCAAG
rnacentral:lncRNA from 10 species